rnacentral:tmRNA from 1 species
GGGGAUGUUCUGGCUUUGACAGCAGACGACAUUGGAAAGCAAGCACGUGGAGCUUCGUGUCCCGGCUCCGUAAUAUCAGGACUCAGGCCAUAACUGGCAACAACAAUUAUGCGCUCGCUGCCUGAUCGUCCAAAGGACUGAUCGCUUAAUCUCUCCGGGCCAGGCCCGGGGCGACGAGUAUCCCGCAGAAAUUUCCGCCCUCCGGGUUUUUGCAUAUGGGGUAUCAUCUACGAGGGGCUGGUUGUAAAGAUUCUCCGGCUUUGCAAUAAGAUUUGAGGAGAUACGGGGAAUAUGGCCCGCCUGCAGGCAGUAUCCCUCCCGACAAAAAAAUGUGGGCUAAACGUGUAGAAAACUUUUGGAUGCGCUGUUUGGACGGCGGUUCGAAUCCGCCCAUCUCCAC